ensembl:misc_RNA Telomerase-vert Vertebrate telomerase RNA
UUUGUCUAACCCUAACACAGAGUGGCACAGGCGCCGCGCUUUUGUUUCCCCGCGCGCUGUUUUUCUCGCUGACUUUCAGCGCGUGGAAAAAGCCUUGGCCUGCUGCCGUGCACCGUUUCUUUGAGAACAAACACUUAGGAUCCUGCUGC